rnacentral:rRNA from 1 species
UACGGGGGGGGUAAGCGUUGUUCGGAAUUACUGGGCGUAAAGGGCUCGUAGGCGGCCAACUAAGUCGGACGUGAAAUCCCUCAGCUUAACUGGGGAACUGCGUCCGAUACUGGAUGGCUUGGAUUUGGGAGAGGGAUGCGGAAUUCCAGGUGUAGCGGUGAAAUGCGUAGAUAUCUGGAGAAACACCGGUGGCGAAGGCGGCAUCCUGGACCAACAUUGACGCUGAGGAGCGAAAGCUAGGGGAGCAAACGGG